rnacentral:lncRNA from 1 species
GUUUGACUUAGUUUUUUAAACAGAUUUGUUUAGCCAUGGGAUGGCUGAUUGCCUGGGUUAAGAGACGCCCAGAUGCAUGGUUUCUGGGAAUGUCUGCAGAGGUUUCUCCAGGAGAGACUGGCAUUGGAAUCAGUGCACUGGGAAAGGUCUGCCUCACCCAACGGACAGCCCCAUUCAGCCAGCUGAGGGCUGGGAGGGAGCUGAGAGGCGGAGAAAGGUGGGUUCUCUCUCUCCUGAGCUUGGGACAUCCACCUUCCCCUGCCCUUGAACUCCAGGCUCCCAGGCCUUUGGACUCUGGGACUGGCAACGGCGGCCCCUGGGUUCUGGGGCCUUCAGCCUUGGUUUAAGAGUCACACCUCUGGCCACCUGGACCUGAGGCCUUGGGACUUAAACCGAUCCUUGCUACUGGCUUCCCAGGGUCUCCAGCCUACCACAGCCGCCCAGGACUGCUCAGCCUGCACAGUGCUCAAGCCGAUUCCCUGACAGGUCCCUUCUCACAUCGCUGCAGGUAGGUGGAUAUUCUUCUGGUUUUGUUACUCUGGAGAGCCCUGAUUUAUACAAGGUAUAAUUUUCAUACAAAGGGAAACCACACAGAUUUAUUUACACUUUGGUGAUUGUUCAUGCACUUGUGAAAUCAUUACCACAAUCAAGAUAAUGAAUGUAUCCAUCACCCCCAAAGUUUCCUCCUGCCCCUUCUAUCCCCCCCACUCCCCACUGUCCUCAGGACACCACUGGUCAGCUUUCUAUCAACACAGACUCAUUUCCUUUUUCUAGAAAGUUCAGUUGAAACAUACUCUUCUUUCUGUCCACUCAGUAUAAUUAUUUUGAGAUUUGUCAUAUGUUGGUGCAGGUAUCAAUGGCUCAUCCUUUCUGUUGAUGAGCAAAUAUGUUUCUGAAACUCAUAAAAAUAGUAUAUUAUAUGCAGUUUUCCCUGAAGUGCUUCUUCACUCACUCAUAGGAAGGCAGUUUAUUUGGGAAACGACCCUGGAAUGGGACACAAGGGAGCAGGAAAGAGAGAGAGGAAAGGACAGACGCCCCUUGGAGGGCGCCUCCUGGUGGUCACUCGCAGUGGUCUCAGUUGAAUUGUAGGGUAACCUCUUCAGGAACACGCAGAGCCCUUUCUAAACUGGCCUCCUGAAGAAUACCAGCCCCCACCUGCUCUCCAGGCUGAACGUGGUCUGUGUUUGUUUCAGUGGAAAUAGCUGUAGUUUCUCAUAACCCAUUAUGGGAACCAGUGUGGGUUUUUUUUUUUUUUGUACAUUUAUAUAUCCACGUUCCUGAUGAUUGAAAUUGGGAUUGCUUUCUGUUUUUGUGCUUUACAAACACUGCCACUCUAAAAAAACCUGUGCCUGUCCCCAGGGCCUGUGUGCAGGAUUCCAUGGAGCACAGACCUGGAAAUAGAAUUGCACGGUCAUAAGAUGUGGGAGUGGUUCCCACCGUAAUAGAAUUCUAAAUUAUUUUUGGAAGGUUUGUGUUUGCACUCCUACUUGCAGUGUCAAAAAGGUCCUGUCGUUGCACAUGUGCAGUAACAUCUGGUAUCCUAGCGCCAGUCUGGUGUUAGCAGACUGUGUCCCGCUGCCAGUUAGAGUGGAGCUCUUCCAUCCCGCGGCCCUAGUGUGCGCUUCCCUGCUUGCUGACGAGGUUGGGCGUCCUCUUGCAUGUCUGCCUUUCUGGCUUCUUUUCUGUGAAAAGUCUUCCCAUGGUUUCUCCCACAGGGUUGUUGGUUUCUACUUAUCUAUUUUGGAUACUAAUAUUUAUCAGUUCGAAGAGUGGGAAAUAUCUUCUUUGAGUUAGUGACGUGGCUUUCGCUAUCCUUUGAUGUCUUUAGAUGAAAGGAAACUUUGAGUUUGGCCGCUGGAAGCCUCCGUCUCCUCUCUGGUGCCUGUGGGACUGGGGUUCAGGGGAUGCUCCCACUAUCAGACUGCACCGUGCCCGUGGUGAGGAAGUGUCCCUCCUGCCCUGGGCACUUUGCCACUCCUUCUGGGGGCUUUCAGGAGACAGCUGUUUCCUGAACUCUUCUGUCUUCUCCACUACCUUCCCAUCCUGCCUCCCCCGCCCUGGCAAGACCCAUGAGCCUGUGGUGAACCUCCACAUCCAGACCACCCAGCCUCCCCAACUUUUUCCUCCUCUUCAGGAGUGUAUUAGCAGUCCCGGGCCUCUGGUGCAUGAAUUCUGUCAAGUUCCCCUCAAAAGUCUAUUGGGAUUUAUUGAAAUUGUUUUAGAUCUAUAAAUCAAAAUUGGAAGAAUUGAUAUCUCCAUGGUAUAAAACCUUCUGAUUCAUGAGUAUCGUUUAUCUAUACAUGAAUUCAAUCUUCUCUCAUAUCUUUCAGUGAAAUUUUAGUAUUUUUCCCCACAGUGUUGCCAACCUUACAUUUAUUUCUACAUAUCUAGUUUAUUUUUAGGUAUCGUAUAAUUGUUGCUGUUAUUUUAAAUGGUAUGUUUAUGAAAUUGUGUUGUUUUGUGUUGCUGCAAGUAUAUAGAGAUGCAGUUGGUUUUGGGGUACCUGUUUCAUUAUUCCCAAUGCUUUGUAGAAGCUUUUUCAUUUUCUAUGGAGUGCCUCAUGCUAUCUAUGAAUAAUGACAGUGUUGUUUUUAGUUUUCUAUAUUAAGCCAUGUUUCUCACAGGACACUGGCCAGGACCUUCAGCACAGUGCUGAACCACUGGUGAGGGUGGUAUUGCUGCCUUACCUGGAUUGUAAGGAAAUAAUUGUGAUGUUUCUUCACUAUGAAUGAUAAUCCCCGUGCAUUGCUGGCCAAGGCCUUUUACAGGCUACACAACUCCCUCUGCCACCCUUUUUUUUUCUCAUUUACUAAGCAUUUUCCCCACUUGAUCUUUUAACAUGGUUAUAGUAGUUCCCCUUAUCUGAAAUUUGACAUUCCUAUGGUCAAACAUGGUCUGAAAAUAAUAAGUGGAAAAAUCCACAAUUAAACCAUUUUAAGUCUUAAAACACUGAGUAGACUGAUGGCUCACAGUCCCACCCAGGGCACAAAUCAUCCCUUUGUUCACUGUAUCCAUGCUGUAUACACUACCCACCUACUAGUGACUCAGUAACCAUGGUUUAUUAGGUGGACUGUUGUUAUAGGGUUGCGAGCUUCUGUGCAGGUGGCCCUUAUUUUGCUUAAUAAUGGCACCAAGCCACAAGAAUAGUGAGGCUGGCAAAUCAGACAUGCCAAAGACAAACUGUAAAUUACUUCUUUUAAGUGAAAAGUUAAAGUUUUUCAAAUCUCCUAGACUGGGGUUGCCAAGAACUACACUAAUUCACUAUUGUUAACCUCUUAGUUAAUGCAUCCAUUAAAUUUGAAUUUUAAUGCAUCCAUUAAAAUUUAUUAAAAUAUGUACACAUAGGAAAAAAUAUAAGCACAAUGUGUAGGGUUUUGUUAUAUGCAUGGAUUCAGACAUCCACCGGGGGUCUUGAACCGUAGUACGCCACAGAUAAGAGGGGACAACCAUGAUGAUGUUUAUAGAUUGCCUAAUGUCAAACCACUCUUGAAUGUCUGUGACCAACCUAACUUGGCCAUGCCAUUAUAGUGGUAUGAAUUAUUAGAUCUGGUCUGCUAGCAGUUGUUUAGAAUUUUUCAAUCUUCAUUAGUGAAGAGAAGUGAUUUCCGGGUUCCCUCUCUCCUGGGGCCCACAGCUGAUCUUGGAAUGAUGGCUGCCGUGAGCAUCACAGAUCUCUAGCAGCCAGAGUAAAACUAACCAAGGCCGGGGCAGGGCUGAGCUUCGCUUCCCACAGGCUGCUCUCGGACCACGGCUGAGCUUACAGGGACACUCAGCACUCCAUUCCUGAGCAACUUGUCUGACUGCUGAUUUUGCAAAGCCCCUGCCCAGGAGUCCAGGAUGCUGCUCCCACUUCUCUCCACCUCUCCUUCCCUGGCAUCACUGUGGAAUAGCCUCCACCAGCUCCUCCCCAUUUUAUAGCACAAGUGUUUCCCCUAAGAAAAUUCAUGAUUUUUCAUUUCACCUUAGUAUUUGCUUCUUAGAAGGCUCAGAUUAGCACACAAAUAAAGACAAUGGUGGCUUUGUAGGGGAAUAUCAGCAAAGGGUUGCAAAAUCUGCUCCCUGAAAACUUGUUGACCUGGCCUGCCUAUCUAGCUGGGUGUCUUAGUCCGUUUUGCUUUAACAAAAUACCUGAGGCUAGGUAUUUUAUAAAGUAAAAGGAUUUAUUCGGCCCACAAUUCUGAUGGAUGGAGCAACCCCACAGCUUAGCACCAGUGUUCUGGCAAGGGACUGUGGCUGCAUCACAACAUGGUAGAAAAAUGGAAAGGAAAACCAUCACAUGCAGAAGAGCCAAGCACAUACAAUGGCUUGCUUCAUAACAACCUGCUCUUGAGACAACUCACUCACUCUGUGAGACCAGCAUCAAUCCCUGCUGAAGACAGUGCACUGGUGCCAUAAUUACCUCCCAUUAGGCCCCACCUCUUCAAGGUGCCACCACCUGUCAACAUGGCCAUGCCAGUGACGGGCUCCCAGCCCAUGAACUUUGGACAAUGCACUCUAACUAUAUCCACAGCACUGGUCUUUCUUGUAUUUUCUAAGUAUCAAUCCACUCACUCAUUUCACCUUACUGCUAUAGCAAUAUUUCAGCUUCUAUUUCUUCUUGAACAGCUUUGAUACCUAGGUUUUCUAGGCGUCUGUCCAUUUCACCGAGUUUUCCAGUGCGUUGACGUAACUUGUGUGGAGUCUUCUCUUAUUGUAAUAACCACCCAGCUCUGUGAUUAUGCCCCCUUUUCAACGGUGACGUUAUUCAUUCAUGCCUUCUCUCUAAUCUCAUCAGAGGUUUGUCUAUUUUGUCCAUCUUUUCCAGAAGCCAACUUCUGGCUUCCUUGAUAUGGUCUUUUGUAUUUCAUUAUUUCCUGCUCUUUCUAUCCAUUUUUCUUUGGAUUUGUAACAAGAUUCUUUUUCUCAUCCUCUGUUCCAUGAUGCCAGAAGCGGAAGCUUCCUGUGUACCCAAGAACAAUGUUUGGCUUUUGAUUCAACAUCUUCGUCUUUCACAAAAUUCAUCCUUCCUUUAUAAUUUGUCACCUGGGGUUUUAAACCCCUGCAGUUCUAUCUUUGGGCUAUAUAAUUUGAGUGUUCGUGUCAUUAUAUUUAUAUAGACUUACAAAUCUUUCUUGACCAUGUUUGACCCAAUAACCUUAGCGAAUAUCUCCCAUUCCAUGUUGUUGAAGGAAACGGUACUUCCCCCAAACAGAAUGAAGUACGAGAUCCUUACUAGUCAAACCUGUUAGUCACCAAGGAAAGAUCUUGCAAGUUCUUAUUCGGUAAGAAAAAAUGAAGCAUUGUUACUUAAUAAAUGUUUAUCUGAAAAAAAAAACCCAGGUGUUUACUUGAGAUUUCUUUGGAUAUCAAAGACUCAAGCCCUUUUGACAUGUUAGGAAACAAUGAUAAUUCAGUUGACCCAAAAACAAGGUAAUCCUUAAAAAUUGGAAAGCAAACACACGAAAUAGACUGUUUGUUUUUAUUCAUCCAAACCAGAUGAUGACAGUAAAAAUCUGGUAAUAAUGACUUUAAAAUAUGACUUUAGAAUAACAUGUCUUAUUUCUCUGACAUAAUUUCAAGUGUUAAGAACUGAAUUGAAUUAUCACUUACACAUAUUACAACCUAAGUACGUCAAUGAGAUUUAAAAAGAUAGCAAGGGAAUUUUUGCUAUCCCUAGAAACUAUUAAAAAGCAAACAUUCACCAGCAAGGUUUUCAGUGAUGAGCUCUGAUGAACUAAACUGGUAACUCUUCUGACAGUUGAUUCUGGGAUUAAAGCUACAAUAAGGCAAAUUACCUUUAAGUGUUUGAUGCCUUGCAGGACUGGUCUGGCUAUGGGGUAAGCUGUCAUCAGGAUAGGAUGAGAAGGCAAAAAGAUGGCAAGUUCAAAGCCAGCCUCAGCAACUUAGUGAGGCUCUAAGCAACUCAGAGAGACCCUGUCUCAAAAAAUAAAAAAGGGCUGGGGAUGUGGCUCAGUGGUUAAGUGUCCCUGGUCCACUCCCCAGUACCUCACCCCGCAGAAAAAAAAAAUAGGAUCAGAUGGGACUGAAGCAAGAGAGAGUAAAACACAGAAAAAGAAGGAACAUAAGCCCUGCCUGACCUACAGACCCCUGUGACCCCAGACCCCAUGGGCCUCAGUCUAAGUCUAGUGGACCUACCUGUGUCUGCAUGAGAUCCAAGGUUGGAGUAUCUUCCCUUCUUGGAAAAGCAAAGGAUAUUUUAAGAAAACAUCUGGAAGGACACUAGUAGCUAUCUCACAUUAAUUUAGGUCCUUGGAAGCCCAGAAGGAAUGUAGCAGGGCAGUACCCCAAAACACAAGAGUCCACUAAAGAUGGCCGUCAGGGGUGCUGGUGGGCACCAGGGUGGCUGAGUGAGUCAUCAGGCAUGACUUUAGGAGCUUCUGACUCUGAACUGCUGCUCUCAAUGUUCCCAGCAGAUCCUACAGAAACACCUCGGCUGGUCACAAAGCACAAGGAGAAAAUAGGAUUAAAAUCAUCAGGAUAAAAGCAAAAACAGACGUUCUGCAACAUGCUCAGCCAUGCUGAUCUGGCUGACCCUUGUGGUCUCCUUGGCCGGUUGCUGUGCGAUACGACAUAGAACACGCAGGGUCUCCCCUGCAUCAUAGAAUCCAGCUAAAGGGGACCCUCAAACAAAGAGUUACAGCUCCAGGUUAAAGCAGGAGAUCAUCCACACCCACCAGAGCAGGAGCUUAACACCAGCAUCCAGGAGGAGAAGCAAUGUCACUCAGACCUGAGCUUGUAGAGGAGCCAUUCAGGAGGACUUCCUGGAGGAAGCUGUGUCUCUGCAGAUACGUACAGGAUGAACACAAGUUCACCAGAUGGAAGUCAGGUAUUUGGAAAACAACCUGUCUUGCCUGUUAUUUCAGAUUAUUUUGCCAGGUAUGGAGAAAACUCACCAGAGCCCAGGGUGGCAUUUAGCUCAUACUUUUUAAAAUUGCAAACACACCAUAACAUUGGCCACCUUAACCAUUUUUAAGUGCACAGUUCCGUAGCAUUGAGUACAUUCAGACUCUUGUGCAAUGGUCCUUGUCAUCCAUCUCCAGAGCUCUCUUCAGCUUGCAAAGCUGAAACUCUGCCCAUUAAGUCCUAUCUCUCCAUCCUCCCCUCUCCUGCCCACCUGGCACACACCACUGAUGUCACAGCUCUGUAAAUCUGUCAACACUAGGAACCUCUUGGAAGUGAACUCAUACAGUAUGGGUGUCUUUGUGGCUGGCUUAUUUCACUGUGAUGUCCCCGAGGUCCAUCCAUGAUGGAGCAUGUGUCAGAGUCUCCCUCCUUUCUCAGGCAACGGUCCACCAUGUGGAUGGACCGUGCUUCCUUCCUCACUCACCGUCUGGGCUGCUUCCACCCUCUGGCUCUUGUGAACAGUGCUGCUGUGAUCACGGGUGUGCACAUGUCUCUUUGAGACCCACCUCCCAUUCUUC